rnacentral:rRNA from 1 species
AGGCUGCAGUGGGGAAUAUUGCACAAUGGGGGAAACCCUGAUGCAGCCAUGCCGCGUGUGUGAAGAAGGCCUUCGGGUUGUAAAGCACUUUCAGUUGUGAGGAAAGGUUGAUACUUAAUACGUAUUAACUGUGACGUUAGCAACAGAAGAAGGACCGGCUAACUCCGUGCCAGCAGCCGCGGUAAUACGGAGGGUCCGAGCGUUAAUCGGAAUUACUGGGCGUAAAGCGCGCGUAGGCGGCUUGGUCAGUCAGAUGUGAAAGCCCCGGGCUCAACCUGGGAAUUGCACCUGAUACUGCCAAGCUAGAGUACAGAAGAGGGUGGUGGAAUUUCCUGUGUAGCGGUGAAAUGCGUAGAUAUAGGAAGGAACAUCAGUGGCGAAGGCGGCCACCUGGUCUGAUACUGACGCUGAGGUGCGAAAGCGUGGGGAGCAAACAGGAUUAGAUACCCCUGUAGUC